GUCCACGCCGUAAACGAUGGAUGCUCGGCGUCCGUGGGGAUACCCCGUGGGCGCCUCAGCUGACGCGGAAGCAUCCCGCCUGGGAACUACGAGCGCAAGCUUAAAACUCAAAGGAAUUGACGGGGCCCGCACAAGCAGCGGAGCGUGUGGUUUAAUUCGACGCAACACGCAGAACCUUACCCAGCCUGGACAUGGACCUGCACGCGCAAGAGAUUGCGCCGCCUUCGAGGGUGGUUCACAGAUGCUGCAUGGCUGUCGU
rnacentral:rRNA from 1 species